AAAAUUAAAUUAAGAUUUGGUUUAGACAAACAGUUGAUAUAGUGAAAGCCUUAUUUUGGUCGGUUUGAAUGGAUGUAGUGAAAGCCUUAUUUUGGUAUGUUUGAAUGGAUGUAGUGAAAGCCAUAUUUUGAUAUGUACUUACUUAAAAUGGAUAGCAGUUGGUUUGAAACUUGCUGCAAUGUGUUGUUGAUGCAUUGAACCUUUGUCUUUGUAUUGGUUUGAAACUUGAAUAACAGUUGUUUUGGUUUGAAUAGAUAUGUGUUGUGGAUACUAUGUGUUGUGGAUGUGAUACCUUUGUCUUUGUUUUGGUUUGAAACUUGAAUAACUGUGGAUACUAUGAUUUGAUUCGAUAGCUGUGGAUACAAUGUUUUCAAUAGAUAUGUGUUGUAUUUGGUUUAAUAGCAGUUGUUUUUUUUUUUGUUUGUAUUGGUUUGAAACUUGAUGCAAUAGCUGUGGAUACUAUGUUUCCCAAAUCUUUCAUUACUCUGCAAAAUGUAAGUAGAAAUGAGCUGCAAGUGUUUUAUCACUCACUAUCUAAUGCAUUACAACAAGUACAAAAAUUACUCUGCAAAAUGUAAGUAGAAAUAAAGCUGUUUUAUC
rnacentral:lncRNA from 1 species